GACGAACGCUGGCGGCGUGCUUAACACAUGCAAGUCGAACGGAAAGGCCCUGCUUUUGUGGGGUGCUCGAGCGGCGAACGGGUGAGUAACACGUGAGUAACCUGCCCUUGACUUUGGGAUAACUUCAGGAAACUGGGGCUAAUACCGGAUAGGAGCUCCUGCUGCAUGGUGGGGGUUGGAAAGUUUCGGCGGUUGGGGAUGGACUCGCGGCUUAUCAGCUUGUUGGUGGGGUAGUGGCUUACCAAGGCUUUGACGGGUAGCCGGCCUGAGAGGGUGACCGGCCACAUUGGGACUGAGAUACGGCCCAGACUCCUACGGGAGGCAGCAGUGGGGAAUAUUGCACAAUGGGCGGAAGCCUGAUGCAGCAACGCCGCGUGCGGGAUGACGGCCUUCGGGUUGUAAACCGCUUUCGCCUGUGACGAAGCGUGAGUGACGGUAAUGGGUAAAGAAGCACCGGCUAACUACGUGCCAGCAGCCGCGGUGAUACGUAGGGUGCGAGCGUUGUCCGGAUUUAUUGGGCGUAAAGGGCUCGUAGGUGGUUGAUCGCGUCGGAAGUGUAAUCUUGGGGCUUAACCCUGAGCGUGCUUUCGAUACGGGUUGACUUGAGGAAGGUAGGGGAGAAUGGAAUUCCUGGUGGAGCGGUGGAAUGCGCAGAUAUCAGGAGGAACACCAGUGGCGAAGGCGGUUCUCUGGGCCUUUCCUGACGCUGAGGAGCGAAAGCGUGGGGAGCGAACAGGCUUAGAUACCCUGGUAGUCCACGCUGUAAACGGUGGGUACUAGGUGUGGGGUCCAUUCCACGGGUUCCGUGCCGUAGCUAACGCUUUAAGUACCCCGCCUGGGGAGUACGGCCGCAAGGCUAAAACUCAAAGGAAUUGACGGGGCCCCGCACAAGCGGCGGAGCAUGCGGAUUAAUUCGAUGCAACGCGUAGAACUUUACCUGGGUUUGACAUGGAUCGGGAGUGCUCAGAGAUGGGUGUGCCUCUUUUGGGGUCGGUUCACAGGUGGUGCAUGCCUGUCGUCAGCUCGUGUCGUGAGAUGUUGGGUUAAGUCCCGCAACGAGCGCAACCCUUGUUCACUGUUGCCAGCACGUUAUGGUGGGGACUCAGUGGAGACCGCCGGGGUCAACUCGGAGGAAGGUGGGGAUGACGUCAAGUCAUCAUGCCCCUUAUGUCCAGGGCUUCACGCAUGCUACAAUGGCUGGCACAGAGAGUGGCGAGCCUGUGAGGGUGAGCGAAUCUCGGAAAGCCGGUCUCAGUUCGGAUUAGGGUCUGCAACUCGACCUCAUGAAGUCGGAGUCGCUAGUAAUCGCAGAUCAGCAACGCUGCGGUGAAUACGUUCCCGGGGC
rnacentral:rRNA from 1 species